CUGCGAAUGGCUCAUUAAAUCAGUUAUCGUUUAUUUGAUAGUACUUUACUACUUGGAUAACCGUGGUAAUUCUAGAGCUAAUACAUGCUAAAAAUCUCGACUUCGGAAGGGAUGUAUUUAUUAGAUAACAGAGCCAAUGCCUUCGGGCUCCUUGGUGAUUCAUAAUAACUCUACGAAUCGCAUGACCUUGCGUCGGCGAUGGUUCAUUCAAAUUUCUGCCCUAUCAACUUUCGAUGGUAGGAUAGUGGCCUACCAUGGUUUCAACGGGUAACGGGGAAUUAGGGUUCUAUUCCGGAGAGGGAGCCUGAGAAACGGCUACCACAUCCAAGGAAGGCAGCAGGCGCGCAAAUUACCCAAUCCCGACACGGGGAGGUAGUGACAAUAAAUACUGAUACAGGGCCCUUUCGGGUCUUGUAAUUGGAAUGAGUACAAUUUAAAUCCAUUAACGAGGAACAAUUGGAGGGCAAGUCUGGUGCCAGCAGCCGCGGUAAUUCCAGCUCCAAUAGCGUAUAUUAAAGUUGUUGCAGUUAAAAAGCUCGUAGUUGAACCUUGGGCCUGGGUGACCGGUCCGCCUCACCGCGUGUACUGGAAACCCGGACCUUUCCUUCUCGCAAAUCGCAUGCCCUUCACUGGGUGUGUCGAGGAACGAGGACUUUUACUUUGAAAAAAUUAGAGUGUUCAAAGCAGGCAUUUGCUCGAAUACAUUAGCAUGGAAUAAUAGAAUAGGACGUGCGGUUCUAUUUUGUUGGUUUCUAGGACCGCCGUAAUGAUUAAUAGGGAUAGUCGGGGGCAUCCGUAUUCAAUUGUCAGAGGUGAAAUUCUUGGAUUUAUUGAAGACGAACUACUGCGAAAGCAUUUGCCAAGGAUGUUUUCAUUAAUCAGGAACGAAAGUUGAGGGAUCGAAGACGAUCAGAUACCGUCGUAGUCUCAACCAUAAACUAUGCCGACUAGGGAUCGGGCGGUGUUUUAUAUUGACCCGCUCG
rnacentral:rRNA from 1 species